CCACAUCGUAUUUGGUUGGACCGGCUUGUUGCGGGGAGGGCGGGGGAAGAUUGUUUGCAGUGGAGAAGCUCGGCGCACGGGAAGGUAAACUGAGCUCCCCAGAGACGCAUCCCGCAGCCUCUGCUCAGGCCCAGCCGUCUCUCUCCAGUUGCCACCACAGCCUGGAGGCGCCUGCCUCCGCCCUCCCGAAUGGUGCUCCUUCUCACAGGCCUCGGCCCAGGAUCCAGGCCCCCUUUGCCCCCUGCCUCGGAGCUGUUGCUCCGGGUCUUUCCUAGUGGACUCCUUGGGACGGGGAGGGAAGAACUUUUGCACAUACAAGGCUGUAGCUCUAGGGACCCCACCGACAACUUGAAUCUUGGUCUCUAACCGAGUGUGAAAUCCCUCCUGUGCCCUCUCUAUCUGCCCUUUGAGAAGAGAAACCCUUCUGUCCACCCAGAACCCAGUAAGCCCCAAGCUGGGGCCCUGGUCCCAGCAUGUCAAUCCUCUCUUAUGCAUAGGGCUCUGCCCUCUCCCUGUCAGCAUGGCUGAACUCAGGCAGGUUCCAGGGGGGCGGGAGACCCCACAGGGGGAGCUUCGGCCGGAAGUUGUAGAGGAUGAAGUCCCUCGGAGCCCUGUCGCAGAGGAGCCCGGAGGAGGCGGAAGCAACAGCAGUGAAGCCAAAUUGUCCCCAAGAGAAGAAGAAGAGCUGGAUCCUAGAAUACAGGAGGAGCUGGAGCAUCUGAACCAGGCCAGCGAGGAGAUCAACCAGGUGGAGCUGCAGCUGGAUGAGGCCAGGACCACCUACCGGAGGAUCCUUCAGGAGUCAGCGAGGAAGCUCAACACACAGGGCUCCCACCUGGGGAGCUGCAUCGAGAAGGCCCGGCCCUACUACGAGGCUCGGCGGCUGGCUAAGGAGGCCCAGCAGGAGACACAGAAGGCAGCGCUGCGGUACGAGCGGGCCGUGAGCAUGCACAACGCUGCCCGGGAGAUGGUGUUUGUGGCCGAGCAGGGCGUCAUGGCUGACAAGAACCGGCUGGACCCCACGUGGCAGGAGAUGCUCAACCACGCCACCUGCAAGGUGAACGAAGCAGAGGAGGAGCGGCUUCGUGGCGAGCGGGAGCACCAGCGGGUGACGCGGCUGUGCCAGCAGGCCGAGGCCCGGGUUCAGGCCCUGCAGAAGACCCUCCGGCGCGCCAUUGGCAAGAGCCGCCCCUACUUUGAGCUCAAGGCCCAGUUCAGCCAGAUCCUGGAGGAGCACAAGGCCAAGGUGACAGAGCUGGAGCAGCAGGUGGCCCAGGCUAAGACCCGCUACUCUGUCGCCCUGCGCAACCUGGAGCAGAUCAGCGAGCAGAUUCAUGCGCGGCGCCGGGGCCAGCCCGCGCAUCCCGCGGGCCAGCGGCGCUCCUCCCCCGUCGGGGCCGAGGCCGGGCCCGAUGCUGGCGAGGAUGGGGACAGCGGGAUCAUCGAGGGGGCCGAGGGCGGGGGUUUGGAGGAGGGCGUCAGCCUGGGGCCUGGGCCUGCGCGCGACACGGACACUCUGAGCCUACUGAGCCUGCGCACGGUGGCCUCGGACCUGCAGAAGUGCGACUCGGUGGAGCACCUGCGGGGCCUCUCCGACCACACCAGUCUGGACGGCCAGGAGCUGGGUCCCCGGGGUGGGGGUCGCCGGGGCAGUGACGGCGCAGGCCGCGGGGGCCGUCACCAGCGCAGUGUCAGCCUGUAGCCCCCAACCCCGCUCAGGGUGGCUGGUGCGACUCUUAACCACCAUGGCCCAGGAAGGGCCCUCAGGCUCUCAGCUCCCCCUCCUCGGGGCCUUGCUUUCCUCAGAGGGGUCGGUGUGGCUGUGUCUGAGUCUGCUCUUCGUGUCUGGCUUUCCCGCGGGUGGCCCCUCUCUUUGCCUUACCCCCUCGGAAGGCUUGUCUUUGGCUCUCCCCUCCUGCUGGCUCCUCACCGUCUGUCUGACCCCCUUUGCUGUCCCCUUCUGACUUCUUCCAUCUGUCUGGAUUUUCCCCCCUCAGGGAAAUUUAUCUAGAAGGCACAGGGAAGCCAUCAGAGAAAGUGGGUGCUGGACCUGAGUCCCCGCAUCUUGGUUCCCCAGCUUUCAGUGAACGGACAGGCGCCCCUUCCACCUCCCCAUCUCCCAGGUGGGCCCUACGGAUGCUGCAGAGCUCUCCUGGCAGCCCGCUGUCCCGCUCCUCUGUCCCAGCCUGCCUGUGUGUAACAUGUAAGAUGUGCUGUGGGACUCUGUGCCUCUGGGAGACACCACUGGUCCCUUCAGCGCUCCCUCCUCAUGACCUAAGCUGCUUUGCUGUGUGUGCCUCAAAGCAGGACUUGAGGGGUACUGGGGUCAGGGAAGGUGAAACCAACCCCAUUGUCAACAUAGGGGACUCCCGUGUGCAUCGCGUUUCUAGGCUGGGCCCUUAACAUUGCCAAGGUGCUAGCGGGUCCGUGUUGCGGGGUGGGGACGUAGUGAAGUCCCGAUGGCUGAAACCCUUGCCAGUCCUGCUGCGGAGUUAGGUUUAAUUUACUUUUUCUGGGUAGAGGAUGCAGAGCCAAGUCUCAGCACCCUCCUACAGGGUUGGAGUUAGGGAAUUUGGUGCUCAGUUGCUCUCCAUUGCUCUUCCCCAAACCAAACAAUACCUAGUCCAGGAUCCCUUAAGGGGGAACGCUCAGGUUUGGCUGUAGAUCCUCUGCUGAUAUGGGGAGGGGCUGGCCUGGGGUGAGGGGACUCGCCCUCCGUGGGGAGCAGCUCCAGGUGUCUGGCGGGGCUCCCACGCUGUGUAUGGGGAAAGGUAGGGGAGCUACACUGGAUCUGGGUGCCUUUGGAGGACUGAUCCUCCUGUCCCACCCCGGGAGGGCUGAGAGCUGGACUCUGGGCAGGAGACCUUGUGCCUAGGCCUAUGAGCUGCUGCCACUGACCAGGGGAGGAGUGGGCCUUCGCGUGGAAGGUGUCCCCCUGUCCCAGGGUCGAGGUAGGAUGGUCAUGAUGAGAACCGCCAGGUUUGAGGUGGCCAUGGGUGGAGGGAAGAGUGGGAGGAUGUGGGCGUGCGUGCGUGCAUGCAUGUGCCUGUGUGUAUGGGGGAAAAGGUCUGCCCCGAUUUUAUUUAAAUAAAAUAGUUUAUGUAACAGUAAUGUUCAUUGCCCCUGUUGGGAGGGAGAGGGAGAACGGCGAGGAUGGAGAGCAGGGAGGAGCAGGGUGAAAUGUGCUCUUCUGAUGGGGGAAGUCAGGGAGGUGAAGGAUGAGAUGGACCAAACCCAGGGAGGGAAGGCUUAUGGCCAUGGUGCUGGGGUGAGCACACACCAGGUCACCGGUGCCCUGCAGAUCCCCUCCCCACCGGCCUGCUAGCCAGGAAGGCUCUGCAGGGUGGAGAGAAUGUCAGCCACUGGUGGUGCAGAAGGCAUCGGGGUGCCAAUCCUGGAUGUGAGUAUGAGGAAAGGGGAGGGACGUACAUAGGGUUGUGGGAUUUAGCGAAUAAACACACAGGAUGCUCAGGUAAACUUAGAUUUCAGAUAGUGUUUUUGCACCCCCACCCCCACCCCCGGGAAUGUUUAGGACAUACUUACACCAAGUUAUUUGUUGUCUAUCUGAAGUUAAAAUUCAACAUAGGUCAUAGGUGACUCCCAUGUCAGGACUUGACCCGUUGUGGGUCAGGAGGGUUUUGAGUACCUUUGGACCCACAGGCUGUGAAAUGUCUGGUGGAUCAGGUAGGGGAAGAGCUGAGGACUUCAGGAGCGGUGGAGGUGGAGAGUGAAGGCUUCGGACUGAGCGCCACCAGGCUGUACCUGCAUGUACAACCAGGUGAGGGUGGAGUCAGCCAAGGGGUGGAGAAGGCGCUGCCAGUGAGGAACGGGGAGACCUGCUGAUAGAACCCGGUGAGAAGUGGGCGUCCUGAGGGCCCCUAAGAGUAGGAAGCCAGAAGCUGGAGGGACAGGAGGACAGAGGGGACACCCUGGUGAGCUCAGAUGGUAGAUAGGCCAUUAUGAGCCACUGUGCACCCUUUAACUACGCUGUCCAGGUGUGAGACUGCCUGUCCUGACCUGAGUUCUUACCUUAAUUGAGAAAGAAGUGAAGUGUGGUAAGGUGAUGGGUGCCAAAUACUUCCCUUUUCACUGGAAAAGCUGCAGGUAGUGCAUGGCCUUUGCCCUUGGAAAGUGGGCUUUCUGAGACGACUCCCUGGGGUCAUACUUCCCGCCCGUAAAGCUCCUGGUGCAAAGGAGCCCCAGAAAAGAAGGGCUGGUUGUGCUCACCCAUUUUCUUGCAAAAGUCACCUACCAGGUAAGGCAACAGUGCAGAGAGAACGGGAGGGUUAGGGCUGACGGCACUUCCUUCAUGUGGAGGAAAGCUGCCGUGGUGAAUAUGCCUACCCCCAGCCCUAACGUGACGGCAGUGGGUUGCACUCACCGUGUGUCUCAUGUGCCAGGCAAAUGCAUCGACCCAUUUAGUGCCCACAGCAUUGCGGGGUAAUGCGCAGUUGCUUUUUCACAGUUGAAAAUACAGGCAUGUAGGAGUGUGCAGUCUGCCCCUAGCCUUGUAGGAAGUGAUACAGGCAGUCGGACUCUUGAGUCCAAACUCCUGAACACCUGAGUUAAGGAACUAGAGGUGAGAAAGAAGAGGGUAGAUGUAGUCGGCUCUUAGGAAGUUUUAUGGGGGGGAAGAGGAGCUGAGAAAUACCAGGAUGGUCAAGGAAUUUUAAAGUAAGCAAGAGAUGGUCAGUUUAUGGGAGAUGUGGAGUCUCUUCUUACCCAUUUCUGUGCCAUGUCAUAUGUCAUAGUGGUAAUGACUUCUUUUGAACUGUGUCCCCCUUAAGUAAGUAGCUGGGCUCAGAAAAUAUGCCUUUGUGACCCCUCUUCCCCAAUCCAAAUUUAUUCAAGGUGGUUGUUGGUUUGUUUGUGGGGAGAGGUAAUUAGAUUUACUGAUUUAUUAUUGAAAGAGGUACUGGGAAUUGAACCCCGGAGCUCCUGUAUGCUAAGCAUGAGCUCUGCCACUUGAGCUAUACCCUCCCCCCAGGUUGUAGAUGGUCCCCGACUUACAAGUUUGACUUGCUGAUUUUUUGGCUUUAAAGUGGUGCGAGAGCAACACACGUUCAGCAGAAACAGUACUUUGAAUUUUGCAUCUUGAUCUUCUGGGCUAGUGAUUGGAGGCUUUGCAGUGGGUACCCCGCAGCUAGCUCCCAGUCAGCCACGCAGCCUUGAAGGCGAACAGCAAUGCACUUAACGGCUAUUCUGUAUCCACACAACCGUUCUGUGUUGCACUUUAUCAGUAGAGUAUUCAAUUAGCCACAUGAGGUACUCAGCACUUCACUAUAAAGUAGGCUUUAUGUUAGAUGUGUUUGCCCAGCUGUAGGCUAAUGUAAGUGUUCCGAGCACAUUUAAGCUUGGUUAAGUGUAUUAAGUGCAUUUUUGAUUUAGGACAUUUUCAACUUAAUGAUGGGUUUAUCGAUUCGUAACCCCAUUGUAAGUCUAGGAAGAUCUGUACUUUGUUAGUACCACGGUUAGGAGGUCAGUGUCUGUAUCCACAGCCCAGGCAUGUUUAUGACCUGUAAAAUGAGAAAAUCUCAGCGUGCUUAGCAUGAUGCCAGGUCAAUGGAUGAUAGCUACAGUGAUCCAUGCUGCAGUUUCCUGAAGCUUCAGGAUGCAGCGACAUUCACGUAAGGAAGCCUCCUCCCAUCUUGUGCUAGACAAGGAGACUCUUCAUGAAGAUCUCACUGAGGGUUGGUUUUCCCUCUUUAGGAAUCAUUUCGGUCUUUACUCCGCCUUGAUGGGCUUCUCAGGCUGUCAUGGUCCUGCUCUGUCGGCAGAGGGCAGCAACCACCAGAAAGCGGGCCAGGCGCGGUCUGGGUCUUCAUCCCUGCACGCAAUUACAAUGUUAGUUUCGCAGGACUAUGAGGUUCGCCUCCUGGACCCUUGACAGGGGGCCUGGGGACAUGGUGGGGUGGGGGUUGGGAUCCGUACCCCAGAGUUGAACCCUGUCUGGCCCCACAGGGGCCUCUUGUAUCUCUGCAUAUCCUUGGAAAAGUCAGCUGUCUGAAAACUGGGCCAGGUCUUCUGGGGUGGCCGUCAUUUGAGACAAGAUAUUCCGUGCCUGUUAACUUGCCCUGUCUCCUCAGAGCUCACUCACCUCCUGUGUCGUCCUCCCUAAUGUCCCGUCCGUUGCCCUUCCUCAGCCCUCUUCCAUAUUCCCCUUUUGGGAAAUCCCUUAGUCUUCUCCCUACCAUCAUUCCGGACCAUAGCCUGAACUGAGGGGAACAGGGGACCACGUUUCACUGGCUUGCAAAAGGAUGUGCAUAGUUUAUUAAGAAAUAUUUACCAGGAUCUUCCAGAGUGCAAAACACUGGUGCACUGUGGUAGGGCUGAUUUAGAAAGUAUAAUACUGUGGGUGGGAUAUCCAGAUAAGGAACCUGGGGGUCCACACAGGUAAUUGGUGACUUGGAGCAGUGAAAAACAGAUAACUACUGAGGGCUGUAGUCAAGGAGGGCUCUGGGAGGUUAGGCAAGAAAGCAAGGGCAUCGGAAAUGGGGACCACUCUGAAGCUCUGAACCAGCCCCUGGCUGUAGGCUAGAGAGGAGGUAACAGGCAGCCCCUCACCCCCACCCUCUCCUCCCAGUCCUCCUAUCCCAUGCCUCACUCUUCUGAAAUCUGUCCUGAGCUCUUCCAGCCAGGGCUUGUGUCUGCCCCAUCUUGGUGUUCUCGGGGACUGUCACAAAGCACUCUCCAUCAGACAUUUGCCCACAGAUGUGCUUAUGCUCUUGGCACAAGUUUUCACACUUAACCUGUUAGAUUUCUGCCUGUGACUUGAUGCCCAGCUCAUGUGGACAUUUGACCAAAGGCCUUCCUGGUUCUGUUACAGAAACCUGAAUCCCGUCGAGAGACCAAGCGACACUCAGAGGGUUGGAGAACUCAGGUUUAUUUACGCCGGCGGGCCCAGAGGCGUUAAUACUCUCGGCUCUGGACCCCGACUGCAAGAUAGAGGAACAUUGUGAUCUAGGAUAGAAUGGCGAUUGGGGCCGUGGAGUUUGGCAAGAGGAGACACUCCUUCCACAACUGCGGCUUCAUCUCACAGGCCUUCUGCGCCGCCCUCUUCCUUUUCCUCUGCUUGUGACUUCUGUGAUAACAGGCAGAAGGGCAGGGGCUUCUCCUCGUCCACCAGGAGGGGAUUUCAGCCACGCCUUCUUCAGAGGCACAACCAGAGAGAAUGUGACGGACAAAAAGGCAGAAUCUGAAAGAGAGGCAAGUUGACCUGGAAUCACAAAUGGAAAAUGUGUCAUAAGAGAAAACAUCACGAGAAUUGGAGAAGAUGAAAGGAGUUGAGUGGAAGAGAAGGAGAGAGACGUGGAGGUACACAGGUGCACUCAGCUGGAGGGAGGGACCUCAGAGAUAAGAAGGGGAAAACACGCCAGCUGACAGAACUUGUAGCAGAGACGGUGCGCAGAGGUGCCUGGACAUUAAUUGAGUCCAGUUCAGAUUUAUAGCCCUCCCUUAUCUUGACCUGUCUUAAGGUGCCUAGGGGUGGGGCCAUUCCUGGAGCUGCCUACAUUCUGCGGCUGCCUGCUGGAUGGAGAUUUAUGGCUCUGGUGUCAGAGAAAUCAGUGGUAAAUCUUGUCUCAGGCUGGCCCCACCCUCCUUUGGCUCCAACAGUGUUCGAUAUCCAAUUAACAGGAAGCUGGAUUCUAUGAGCUGUUAAGAAACAAAAUUCAACUGAGUAAAUUUUAAAGACCUUACCGGCUUUAUUCAGUGAUUCAUGAAUUGGUCAGUAUCCCAUCCAGCAGAUGGAAAAGAGCUCCAAGUCACUGUGCAGAAUGAAGGACUUUUAUAACCAGAAGGGAGAGGAACAAUGAAGUUAUACUAGCAAAAAUUGGAUUGGUUGUCACAAGGUCAUCUUCCUUUAGAGGACUGUAGAGGUGUAUCUUGGAAGUAGCUGUCCUAUUACCAGGUAGAAGAGGACCAAGGGGGCGGGUGUGCCUUCAGAUGUGUCCAAGGACCUCUUGGCAGCUCUGUACCAUUAAUUCCACGACGAUUUGUGUGCCUGGAACCCAACCAAAGCUGAGCAAGCCAUAUUCUCUAAUCAAAACAGUAUUAUCUUCUUGAGGACUUGUGCGUUUUGAGAAUUCUAUGCUUUGUGAGAUGUGUUCUUUCACAGUUUUGGGCAUGAAAAUCUUCCAGUGAAAUGAGAACAGAAGAAAUAUUUGCUUGUCACCCAUCCUUUGUCUUAAACAUGGCUCAAUAAGGAGGUAUCACUCAGAGACGCUGGCUCAGAGAGGAUUUUUCUAGAACCUUGGUUCCUAAAGUAUAUUCUCCAGACCAGCAACAAAAAAAACAUCACCUGAAGCUUGUUAGAAAUGAACAUUCUCAGGCCCCAGCUCCCCAGAGGUACUGGAUCAGAAGUUCUGGGGUGGCACCCAGGAUCUGUUUAAUAGGCCCUGCAGGUGAUUCUGGUGCCCACUGGGGUUUGUGAAUUGGCUGGCAUAGGGGAUGCAACAAAUUGCACGCAGGGCUCCUAAAACUUGUCACUUCUUUCUCUUUUUAUCUGCCAAGCAAGGUCACUUGGCCUAAUUUCAGAGGAGUGGCAAGUGUUAAAGUAGAUUGUGUUAAAUGACAAAAAAAUUCAACCAAGUACAUUUUCAAGAUCUAAUUGGCUUUACUGAAUGAUUGAUGAAUUGGGCGGCAUCUCUUCUAGCAAGUAGAGAGGAGCUCCAAGGAGCUGUACAAACUGGAAGGCUUUUGUGGGCAGACAAGGGAAGGCAUAAGGGAAGAGCAGAUUGCCUCAUCUUCCUUUUGGAGAUGGAAAGGGUCUGUGUGUGCUGACCAGAAAAUUCCAAGCUGGCUGGUUCAGACUACGUUUGUGGGGAAGAUUGGCAGUGCAAUUAGGUGAGGCAUUAAGCCAUGGUUUGGCAGUGUGGGCUUAGCACAAGUGACUCCAUUUUUGAAGGCCUCUGUCUUUUGAACAAUAAAAAAAAAAAAAAAAAACAGUGGCCAUGAACAUUAUCAGGGGAGGUGGCAGAAGCUUGGGUUUGUGCUUUCUGUUUUCAGACCACGUCUGAAAAAUAGUGCCUUUGCAACGUAAGCACAGUGCCAUUGUAAUUUCUUGGUUUUAUCUAUUAGGCCAAAUUAGCAUUUUCCCAAUUGCCUCACAAAGGCCCCCUUUACACUGGGUGGUCUUCAGGCUCCAGCCAAGCUCUAUACAUUGCACUAGGGACGUUUAGUGGCUUUAGUCUGAUCUGUGCCUCUGCGGUGGUCAUUUCCACAAAUCACAUGGGGACAUUAUUAACACCCUAUGGAAUAAGAUUCAUAUUUUAAUGGCAAGAGAAGAAAAAUUUAGACAUAAAAUUUUUCUGCCCUUUGACCGCCUCUCUCUCCUCUACUGUGCAUUGUGUAUCUAUAUGGAUUAUGCAUUGACCAAACCUCCCCCAUCAGCAGAAAUGCCUGCUCAGUCCUAAGAGCAACAUUAUCCUAACAUCUACAAGACAACUCCUUAAAAGAGAGCCAUCCUUCUAGAUUUUGCAAGGAGGGGGUCACACGACCCCCCCCCCCCCACUUUCUACUUGCCGAUCUGGAUUGUGUAAACUGUCGAUAAUACAUCAUUUGAUGUACAUCCUUCUAUCCCUAAAAACUGUGCUUUGACUUUUGAUGGGCAGAACUUUUUUUUUUUUUUUUUUUCUUUGAGAUGCUGUUCCUGGGUUAUAAUCCUCAACUUGGCUCAAAUAAAAUUUUCCAUUUCUUUCUAA